UGACUGACGCUUACUUCAAGAAGAAG
rnacentral:piRNA from 1 species